UUGGCUCUGACGUUUUAAUUCGUACUCCCUCCGUCUCAAAUUACCCGUCCCAAAUUGAGAUGCCACAUUGAUUAAGAAAAAUAAUUAAUAACAUGUCUAGUUUACCAUAACCCACUGAUCAGUUGGUGGGACAGAAGACAUAUUUAAAAUAACCAUUGUUUGCUAUUCAAUCGAAAUUUCAUAAGAGAAGAAAGCUUUUAACACCGGUCGGCGUAUAGUCCCCCUAUUAAAUGAUGUUUUCAUUUUAAUUUGAAGAAAAAAUGAUUAAUGCAAAGGGUAAAACAUGGAUUUUUU
rnacentral:lncRNA from 1 species